GACGAGCCUCACAAACGUUAUUCGGAAUUACUGGGCUUAAAGGGUGCGUAGGCGGCCCGGUAAGUUGGGCGUGAAAUCCCUCGGCUCAACCGAGGAACUGCGCCCGAAACUACCGUGCUCGAGGAAGAUAGAGGUGAGCGGAACUCACGGUGGAGCGGUGAAAUGCGUUGAUAUCGUGAGGAACACCCGUGGCGAAGGCGGCUCACUGGGUCGUUUCUGACGCUGAUGCACGAAAGCUAGGGGAGCAAACGGG
rnacentral:rRNA from 1 species